AAAUCGUUCGACGAGGAUCUAUUGGAGGGCAAGUCUGGUGCCAGCAGCCGCGGUAAUUCCAGCUCCAAUAGCGUAUAUUAAAGUUGUUGCAGUUAAAAAGCUCGUAGUUGGAUCUGGGGUUCGGGUCGGCGGUUUGCCGCUUCGGCGGCUACUGCCGUGCUCGACUCUUACUAGCCGGUGCGUCUUGCGGUGCUCUUCAUCGAGUGCCGUAGGAGCCUGGCAUGUUUACUUUGAAAAAAUUAGAGUGCUCAAAGCAGGCGAUUCCGCCUGAAUAGUGUUGCAUGGAAUAAUGGAAUAGGACCUCGGUUCUAUUUUGUUGGUUUUCGGAACUUGAGGUAAUGAUUAAGAGGGACGGUCGGGGGCAUUCGUAUUUCGGUGUUAGAGGUGAAAUUCUUGGAUCGCUGAAAGACGGACAAAUGCGAAAGCAUCUGCCAAGAACGUCUCCAUUAAUCAAGAACGAAAGUCAGAGGUUCGAAGACGAUCAGACACCGUCCUAGUUCUGACCAUAAACGAUGCCAACUAGCGAUCCGCAGUGGUUGCUAUAAACGGACUCUGCGAGCAGCUUCCGGGAAACCAAAGUGUUUGGGUUCCGGGGGAAGUAUGGUUGCAAAGCUGAAACUUAAAGGAAUUGACGGAAGGGCACCACCAGGAGUGGAGCCUGCGGCUUAAUUUGACUCAACAUGGGGAAACUCACCCGGUCCGGACACUGUAAGGAUUGACAGAUCGAGAGCUCUUUCUUGAUUCGGUGGAUGGUGGUGCAUGGCCGUUCUUAGUUGGUGGAGUGAUUUGUCUGGUUAAUUCCGAUAACGAACGAGGCUCUAGCCUGCUAACUAGUUGCGCCGUGUUCAUACGCGGCUGUAGACUUCUUAGAGGGACAGGUGGCGUUUAGCCACACGAAAUUGAGCAAUAACAGGUCUGUGAUGCCCUUAGAUGUCCGGGGCCGCACGCGCGCUACACUGAAGGAGUCAGCGUGUGCUAUCCGGGCUCGGAAGAGUUCGGUAACCCGUUGAAACUCCUUCGUGCUUGGGAUUGUGGCUUGUAAUUAUCGCGCAUGAACGAGGAAUUCCCAGUAAGUGCAAGUCAUCAGCUUGCGCUGACUACGUCCCUGCCCUUUGUACACACCGCCCGUCGCUACUACCGAUUGAAUGGUUUAGCAAGGUACUCGGAUUGGUCUCGAUCUUGUACGAAAGUGCGGGAUCUGUGGCCGAGAAGAAGGCCAAACUUGAUCAUUUAGAGGAAGUAAA
rnacentral:rRNA from 1 species